UGCCUGGAAUGGUUUAUGUUCCAAAUGAUUUAUCGCCGUAGGAUGGGACUACGGCCUAUCAGUUUGUUGAUGAGGUAAUGGCCCACCAAGACUAUUACAGGUACGGGCUCUGAGAGGAGUAGCCCGGAGAUGGGUACUGAGACACGGACCCAGGCCCUAUGGGGCGCAGCAGGCGAGAAAACUUUGCAAUGUGCGAAAGCACGACAAGGUUAAUCCGAGUGGUUUCUGCUAAAGAAACCUUUUGUCAGUCCUAGAAACACUGAUGAAUAAGGGGUGGGCAAGUUCUGGUGU
rnacentral:rRNA from 1 species